rnacentral:lncRNA from 1 species
UCCCAGGGCACCAAGCGGCAGGACACACGCACUUCCGGCCGCGACUGGAAGUCUCGGGUCCGGGGGCUGAGCGAGUCUGGCGCGGUGGCCGGUCCGGGCCAUGGGGAGGGGUCGAACGGGAGGUGGGAGCUGUCGGCGGGGCUCCGGGAGGGGUCACCCCGGGUGCCCUGCGUCGUCCCUGUGGGCCGGAGCCUGGGGCCCUGGAAGGCGUCGCGAGGGGUGGCGGCCGCGGCCUUUCCGGCUUUUCGGGCUCGCCCGCCUGACGGAGGGGCGGCGCAGGACGCGUCCCCACGCCGCGGAGCCUGGGAACUCGCCGGAGCUGAGAGACGCUCUGCUUGAGGCAAGGCGCUUUUCCAAAUAAAGAGCCAGCAAGAAGUGGAGGUGACAAGAACUGAACUUGUUAAAGCCAUGUGCCCGGUGAGUUAGUGAUCCCUUUCUCCCCACUAAAGUCUCACUUUUCCUGAU